UACAGAGGUCUCAAGCGUUGUUCGGAUUCAUUGGGCGUAAAGGGUGCGUAGGCGGCGCGGUAAGUCGGGUGUGAAAUCUUGGAGCUUAACUCCGAAACUGCAUUCGAUACUGCCGUGCUUGAGGACUGGAGAGGAGACUGGAAUUUACGGUGUAGCGGUGAAAUGCGUAGAUAUCGUAAGGAAGACCAGUGGCGAAGGCGAGUCUCUGGACAGUUACUGACACUGAGGCACGAAGGCCAGGGGAGCAAACGGG
rnacentral:rRNA from 1 species